UACGAAGGGGGCUAGCGUUGUUCGGAAUUACUGGGCGUAAAGCGCGCGUAGGCGGACCAUCAAGUCGGGAGGUGAAAUCCUGAGCUAACUUCAGAACUGCCUUCGAUACUGGUUGGUCUUGAGGGUCGGGAGAGGUGAGUGGAACUGCGAGUGUAGAGGUGAAAGUUCGUAGAUAUUGGGAAGAACACCGGUGGCGAAGGCGGCUCACUGGCCCGUUACUGACGCUGCAGG
rnacentral:rRNA from 1 species